rnacentral:rRNA from 1 species
AUUGAACGCUGGCGGCAGGCUUAACACAUGCAAGUCGAGCGGGGUGAUGGUGCUUGCACUAUCACUUAGCGGCGGACGGGUGAGUAAUGCUUAGGAAUCUGCCUAUUAGUGGGGGACAACAUCUCGAAAGGGAUGCUAAUACCGCAUACGUCCUACGGGAGAAAGCAGGGGAUCACUUGUGACCUUGCGCUAAUAGAUGAGCCUAAGUCGGAUUAGCUAGUUGGUGGGGUAAAGGCCUACCAAGGCGACGAUCUGUAGCGGGGCUGAGAGGAUGAUCCGCCACACUGGGACUGGGAAACGGCCCAGACUCCUCCGGGAGGCAGCAGUGGGGAAUAUUGGACAAUGGGGGGAACCCUGAUCUAGCCAUGCCGCGUGUGUGAAGAAGGCCUUAUGGUUGUAAAGCACUUUAAGCGAGGAGGAGGCUCUUUUGGUUAAUACCCAAGAUGAGUGGACGUUACUCGCAGAAUAAGCACCGGCUAACUCUGUGCCAGCAGCCGCCGUAA